UGGCAAUAUUGAAUUUUUUAUCCGUCAUGGCGACGGCUUUCUGUAUCAUUGUUUUAUGAAAAAUAUUUAGCUAAUUUCAUAUAACAUUAUGGGGUCGUUUGCUAAAUUUGUAUCCGAUUAUUGUAAAACAUGGGAUAAAACAGGAAAAGAGCAAUUUGUUAAAAAUGUGACACAGUCUAUCAAAGAUGAAGAAAAAAGUCCACUUUUUACUAAAUCAGGAAAAUUAUCUGGAUUAUCUCAGAGUGUGUAUGAUUUACUACUGUGUGGUCUUCGUGGAAAUCUAAAGAAAGAUGUUGUUCUAGCUACAUUAAAGGAAAUUAGUAUGUUGCAUGCUGACAUACCAUCUAUUAUACUAGAUGUAGUAUGUGUAUUUGAUGCUGAAACUUGUAUAGAUGUGCAAAGUGAUGAGCGCACAAACUUUUGUUACAUUGUAAGGGAAUUGGAAACCUUUAUGUCUGAUAAACUUUUAAAAGAAAGGCUUGAAAUUGAUACCCUUCAAGAUGUCGGUACUUUAAAGAAUAAAAACUUUUAUACCAAAUUUAUUAAAAUUAAGACUAAGCUGUAUUACAAACAGCGUAAGUUUAACUUGUUCCGUGAAGAAAGUGAAGGUUAUGCUAAGUUAAUUGUUGAACUAAACCAAGAAAUAAGUGAAGAUACAGAAUGGAAAACAUUGCUAGAAAUCAUUCAAUCGUUAAUAGGUUGUUUCAAUUUAGAUCCAAACAGGGUUUUAGAUAUCAUAUUAGAAUCCUUUGAAGCACGACCUCAUUUAGAUAAUUUGUUUAUUUCGUUGAUCAAAAAUUACAUGGGUGAUCCUCAAGUAAUAUCUGAAGUAUUAGGUUUCAAAUUAGGAAAUAUGGAAGUGCAAGAUAAUUUGAAAGAACCACCCCCAUUAAUGACUGUGAUAGCGUUGCUUUUACAGCAUCAGGUCAUAUCUCUAGAUGAUAUAUAUCCUUGGUUACGUCCUGAUGAUACUAUUAUGGCUAAAGAAGCAGACAAAGAAUUGAAAUCUGUACAGGACUAUAUACGUAAAUUAAGUAUUGUUUCUACAAAAGGACCUCAAACAAAUGGACCCACCGAAUUUGUUGAAGAGAAAUCUGAUCCUCAGGAAUAUUGGAGCAAUCAAAAGCUAGUACUCAGUGAGUCACUGCUUAAAGUAACAGCAUGGCGUGAAUUUGCCGCAUUGGCUGCACGACUCCCCACGACCGGUAUGGCGGCGCGGCCAGCAAUAGCCCUGUGCAAUAUGCUACAUGCGCUUGUUGAACCUUUGUACAGAAUGCAUUGUAGAGUAGGUCCAAAAAUUAUGGGUAAACCUGUUCCUCCCUUGAAAUCAAGUCUGGCACCACCUGCUUGUAAAACAUUUGAUGAUAUGAAAGAGACUGUUAUUCCUGCAUUAAUUUUAUUGGGACCUUCACUUCAUUAUGAUCCUGUUCUCAUGUAUAAGAUAAUUCGUAUAUUUAGAACAGCACGUUCAAAAUGCGAUGAUCCUUUACACUAUGAAGCACUUACAGUACUUGAUGCUGCCAUAUUGCCUUCUCUCACACUUAUGGAAGGAAAUUGUUGUAUGGCAGAAGAAGUUUAUACUCUUCUGAAACUUUACCCAUAUCAGUGCAGAUAUUGUUUAUACUCACGGUGGAAAAAUGAGGCGGGUGAACGAAUUCCGUCACUGAUGCGUGUACGCGGCAAUUCUUUACAGAGGAUUAAACAUAUCAUGAAACGCGUGUCCAAGGAAAAUAUUAAACCUCAGGGUCGCCUCAUUGGGAAAUUGUCUCAUGCUGCGCCGGCGUUCCUCUUCGAUUAUAUGCUUUUACAGAUUCAAACAUACGAUAACCUGAUCGGUCCGGUGGUGGAGUCGCUGAAGUAUCUGACAUCGCUGUCACUGGAUGUGCUGGGCUGCUGCCUGCUGGAGGCGCUGGCGCGGCGCGGGACAGCGGGCGCAGCCCACCCGCCCUGGCUGCAGGCGCUGGCCGCCUUCGCAGGUGCCGCCUUCAAAAAGCACAACAUUGAACUGACUGCACUCCUGCAGUUCGUCGCCAACCGACUCAAGGCACAACAGAGUCAAGAUUUGCUAAUUCUGAAAGAGAUAGUACAAAAGAUGGCAGGAAUAGAGGCGGCCGAAGAAAUGACAUCAGAACAAUUAGAUGCCAUGGCGGGGGGUGAAUUACUCAAGGGAGAGGCCGGAUAUUUUUCUCAAGUGCGUAACACGAGAAGAUCAUCAGCUAGACUUAAGGAAGCAAUAGUUGGGAACAACUUAGAUAUUGCUCUCUGUAUAUUAUCUGCUCAACAACGUCAUUGUUGUGUUUGGAAAGAAUCCGAAGAAGAAAGUACUUCCUCUGGGGAACCACCUGGCUCACAACUAAAAGUAGUUGGCAGAUUAGCAGAUCAGUGCCAGGAUGCUCUUGUUCAACUAGGAACAUUCUUAGCAUCGUCGCAUGCCCCCGAUGAAUAUGCCGCCCGUUUACCGUCAUUGCAGGAAUUGUUACGCGAUUACCACGUGGAUGCAGAUGUCGCCUUUUUUCUUCACCGUCCAGUACUAGCUCAAAAAAUCGCAGCAAGAGUUGAAGUAUUGAGGAAAGGUUCUGACAUAAAAGCGGACACAUUAGAGAAAAGUAUAGAACGAUACACUACCGCUGCAAAAGAGACUCUGGAACCUAUAUUGUUGUCCGUAACACCAAUGCUACCAGCCAGAGUGUGGGAAGAUAUUUCCCCUGAAUUUUAUGUCACUUUUUGGUCACUCUCGAUGUACGAUCUACGCGUGCCAGUGGAAAGUUAUGAACGGGAAAUAGAGCGUUUAAAGACUGCUGCGGCAAAUGCCGCUAAAGAUACUUCGCAAGGGACAAAAGGAAAAAAGGAGCAAGAACGUUAUAAUACACUUAUUGAAAAGCUACAGGAAGAGCGCCGGCGCCAGCAGGAGCACGUGUCCCGCGUGUCGGCGCGGCUGCAGCGCGAGUGCAGCGGCUGGUUCCCGGCGCGCGCCGCCAAGUCCGCCAAGAACGAGACCGUGACGCGGCUCAUGCAGCUGUGCCUGUUCCCACGCUGCGUGUUCACAGCCGCCGACGCGCUCUACUGCGCCGAGUUCGUGCACACGGUGCACUCACUCAAGACGCCCAACUUCUCUACGCUGCUCUGCUACGACAGGCUGUUCUGCGACAUCACGUACUCGGUGAUGUCGUGCUCGGAGGGCGAGGCGGCGCGCUACGGCCAGUUCCUGCGACGCGUGCUGGGCACGGCCAUGCGCUGGCACGCCGACCGCGCUGCCUUCCACGCCGAGUGCGCACACUACCCCGGUUUCGUCACCAAGUACCGCGUCUCCAACCAGUUCACCGAGGCCAACGACCACGUCGGCUACGAGAACUACAGACACGUGUGUCACAAAUGGCACUACAAAAUCACUAAAGCGAUGGUUGUGUGCCUUGAUUCCGGAGAUUACGUGCAAAUACGCAACGCGCUAAUUGUACUUAUAAGAGUGUUGCCGCACUUUCCAGUAUUGGAAAAAUUGGCCCAAAUAAUCGAGAGAAAAGUGGAUAAGGUAAAGGAAGAGGAAAAAACGCAGCGACAAGAUUUGUACGUGUUAGCUACGGGAUAUAGCGGACAGUUGCGUAACAAAGUCCCCCAUAUGAUGAGAGAGAGUGAUUUUCAUCAGGUGGUUGAUAAGCUCAAGGUGGCAAGCGCCGCUGCCACGCCUGCCGCCACUAUCAAAGAGGAGACUAACUCUCUGAAGCAAGAACAAGAGACGACUUCAUCACCACCACAAACACAAGACACUGAAAAACGAGAGUCUCGAAACAGUGAUCGACGCCGAGAUGAAUCGGACAGAGAGAAAGAAACAAAACGAGAAUCACGAACGUCAAUCAAGGAAAGAUCUAAGGAAGAAAUGAGAAGUAAAGAGCGAUCACCUAGAGAACGUUCACAUAGGGAGGAUCGUUAUUUGGAAACAGUUUCCCCACCGCAUGAUCAUCGUCAUCCACCUGAUGACAUUGAACGAGACGUGAAGCGUCGUAAAGUAGAAACCGCCGGAAAUGGCAAGGUGAGUAUUGUUGUGAUAAAUCGACCUUGCAUCAUGCUCGCGCCGGACUGAGGAUUGGGCUGGAGGCGACUACGAGCACGCGGCCCAACGCUGCUACUGCUACUAACCAUUGUAAUCGUGUGCGCGGACAAGUGUUCACACUCGUCAGAACUGGCCAUCAAGACUUAAAUUUGUGCUUACAAAAUAGACUAUGAACUGUCAAUUAUGUGAAAACAUACUAUAAUAAAAAAAUAAUUAACAAAACUGCUGUCGUACCUGUCAACCGCCAUGUGUUACUAUAAAAAGAAGAUUAAAUUAGCGGAAGAUAUCAUCAAUAAGAAGUUCACUAGAGGAUUCUUUAUUAUGAUCUACAAUUUAAGGAAAACUUAGAUUAUUCAACAUCAGGAUUCAAUCAAAAGUAUUUGUAUUUUUUAUAUAUAAGAAGAUCAAAGCUAACGAAAUAUGUUGAAAUGAAGGAAGAUUUUAUUAUUUCAAGAUAUCAAGACUAAUAACACAUAAUAAUAAAGACAAUUGCAUCGUAUCGCAUCGCAAGCACUCUUGUGAAGAAUCUUAAAUCUCGUAUUAUAAAUAAUAAUAUAUUUGUAAAAAUACUAUAAAAGGAAUCAAUGUGUGUCGUGUGUAAGUCCAUUCAGCCCAGUCCAAUCGCAUACUGCAGGGCACCAAAGAUAUAGAGGAACGGUCGCCCGAGAAGGAAAAACGCAAAACGAAAGUCAGAGGCGAUGAACGUAAAGAGCGUAAGAUGAGUCGCAAGCGGGAUAGAGCAGACGAUACUG